UACGUAGGGUGCGAGCGUUGUCCGGAAUUACUGGGCGUAAAGAGCUCGUAGGUGGUUUGUCGCGUUGUCCGUGAAAACUCACAACUCAAUUGUGGGCGUGCGGGCGAUACGGGCAGACUGGAGUACUGCAGGGGAGACUGGAAUUCCUGGUGUAGCGGUGGAAUGCGCAGAUAUCAGGAGGAACACCGGUGGCGAAGGCGGGUCUCUGGGCAGUAACUGACGCUGAGACGCGAAAGCGUGGGGAGCGAACAGG
rnacentral:rRNA from 1 species